rnacentral:rRNA from 1 species
AUUGAACGCUGGCGGCAGGCCUAACACAUGCAAGUCGAGCGAGCGGCGGACGGGUGAGUAAUGUAUGUGGAUCUGCCCGAUGGAGGGGGAUAACUACUGGAAACGGUGGCUAAUCCCGCGUACUAUCGGAUGUACCCAUAUUGGGUUAGCUAGUAGGUGGGGUAAAGGCUCACCAAGGCGACGAUCUCUAGCUGGUCUGAGAGGAUGAUCAGCCACACUGGGACUGAGACACGGCCCAGACUCCUACGGGAGGCAGCAGUGGGGAAUAUUGCACAAUGGGCGAAAGCCUGAUGCAGCCAUGCCGCGUGUAUGAAGAAGGCCUUAGGGUUGUAAAGUACUUUCAGCGGGGAGGCGUUACCCGCAGAAGAAGCACCGGCUAACUCCGUGCCAGUAGCCGCGGUAAUAC